rnacentral:misc_RNA from 1 species
GAUGAAGAACGUAGCGAAAUGCGAUAAGUAAUGCGAAUUGCAGAAUUUCCGUGAGUCAUCGAAUCUUUGAACGCACAUUGCGCCCGCUAGUAUUCUGGCGGGCAUGCCUGUCCGAGCGUCAUUUCAACCCUCAAGCCCCCGGGCUUGGUGUUGGGGAUCGGCGAGCCUCCGCGCCCGCCGUCCCCUAAAUCUAGUGGCGGUCUCGCUGUAGCUUCCUCUGCGUAGUAGCACACCUCGCACUGGGAAACAGCGCGGACACGCCGUUAAACCCCCAACUUCUGAACGUUUGACCUCGGAUCAGGUAGGAAUACCCGCUGAACUUAAGCAUAUCAAUAAGCGGAGGA